rnacentral:lncRNA from 10 species
CGCUGACUAUUCUCAACAAAUCAUAAAGAUAUCGGAACACUAUAUUUAUUGUUUGGUGCAUGAGCUGGAGUCUUGGGCACAGCCUUAAGCCUCCUUAUUCAGACUGAACUAGGUCAACCUGGCAACCUUCUAGGUAACGACCACAUCUACAACGUCAUCGUCACAGCCCACACAUUCUUCAUAAUCUUUUUCAUAGUAAUGUCUAUCAUAAUUGGAGGUUUUGGCAAUUGACUGGUCCCCCUGAUAAUUGGCGCCCCUGACAUGGCAUUUCCCUGCGUAAAUAACAUAAGCUUCUGGCUCCUUCCCCACCCCUUUCUACUACUGCUGGCAUCUGCUAUGAUAGAAGCUGGUGCCGGAACAGGUUGAACGGUUUACCCUCCUUUGGCAGGAAACUAUUCCCAUCCAGAGGCCUCUGUAGACCUAACCAUUUUCUCCCUUCAUCUAGCAGGUGUCUCCUCUAUUCUAGGAGCUAUUAAUUUCAUCACCACAAUUAUUAACAUAAAACCCCCUGCCAUAUAUCAAUACCAAACGCCCCUCUUUGUCUGAUCUGUCCUAAUCACGGCAGUCCUACUCCUCCUCUCCCUUCCAGUCUUGGCCGCUGGCAUUACUAUACUGCUAACAGACCGUAACCUUAAUAUUACCUUUUUGACCUGGCCGGAGGAGGGGACCCUAUCCUAUAACAACACCUAUUUUGAUUCUUUGGUCACCCUGAAGUCUAUAUUCUCAUCCUACCAGGCUUUGGAAUAAUUUCUCACAUCGUACCAUAUUAUUCCGGAAAGAAAGAACCAUUCGGGUACAUAGGUAUGGUCUGGGCUAUAAUAUCAAUUGGCUUCCUAGGGUUUAUUGUAUGAGCCCAUCAUAUAUUCACAGUAGGGAUAGAUGUAGACACACGAGUUUACUUUACCUCUGUCACUAUAAUUAUUGCCAUCCCCACUGGCGUCAAAGUAUUUAGCUGACUUGCUACGCUCCAUGGGGGUAACACCAAAUGGUCCACUGCAGUACUCUGAGCCCUAGGAUUCAUCUUCCUUUUUACAGUGGGUGGCCUAACGGACAUUGUACUAGCAAACUCAUCAUUAGACAUCGUACUACAUGAUACAUAUUAUGUUGUGGCCCACUUUCACUACGUUCUAUCAAUAGGAGCUGUGUUCACCAUCAUGGGGGGCUUCAUCCACUGAUUUCCCUUAUUCUCAGGCUACACACUCGGCCAAGCUUAUGCCAAAAUUCACUUUGCCAUCAUAUUUGUAGGCGUAAAUCUAACCUUCUUCCCGCAGCACUUUCUCGGCCUAUCUGAGAUGUCCCGAUGUUAUUCCGACUACCCCGAUGCAUAUACCACAGGAAAUAUUUUAUCAUCUGUAGGCUCAUUCAUCUCCCUAAAAGCAGUAGUGCUAAUAAUUUUCAUAACCUGAGAGACCUUCGCUUCAAAGCGAAAAGUCCUAAUAAAUGAGCAACCUUCCACUAACCUAGAGUGGCUGUAGGGAUGCCCUCCACCCUACCAUACAUUUAAAGAACCAGUCUACAUAAAACCUAGACAAAAAAGGAAGGAAUUGAACCUCCUAAGGCUGGUUUCAAGCCAGCCUCAUAACCCCUAUGACUUUUUCAACAAGAUAUUAGGAAAACUAUUUCAUAACUUCGUCAAAGUUAAGUUACAGGUUAAACCCCGUAUAUCUUAAUGGCACACGCAGCCCAGCUAGGUCUUCAAGACGCCACAUCCCCUAUCAUAGAAGAGCUAAUCGCCUUCCAUGAUCACGCCCUCAUAAUCAUCUUUCUUAUCAGCUUUCUAGUUUUAUACGCCCUCUUCCUAACAAUUACAACAAAACUAACACUAACAUCACAGACGCCCAAGAAAUAGAAACUGUUUGAAUGAUUCUACCUGCCAUUAUCCUAGUCCUAAUUGCCCUUCCAUCCCUACGUAUCCUGUACGUAACAGAUGAAAUCAAUGACCCUUCUUUUACCAUUAAAUCAAUCGGACACCAAUGAUACUGAACCUAUGAAUACACCAAUUAUGGAGGAUUAAUUUUCAACUCUUAUAUACUUCCACCACUAUUCUUAGACCCAAGUGACCUUCGACUUCUUAAAGUUGAUAAUCGAGUAGUCCUUCCAAUUGAAGCCCCUGUUCAUAUAAUAAUUACAUCACAAGACGUCCUACACUCAUGAACUGUCCCCACAUUAGGCUUAAAAACAGAUGUAAUCCCCGGACGCCUAAACCAAACCACAUUCACCGCCAUACGACCAGGAGUAUACUACGGU